UACGUAGGUGGCAAGCGUUGUCCGGAUUUACUGGGCGUAAAGGGCGUGCAGGCGGUCUGUUAAGUGCAGGGUGAAAGCUCCCGGCUCAACUGGGAGAGGUCCUUGCAUACUGGCGGACUUGAGGGGGGUAGAGGAAAGUGGAAUUCCCGGUGUAGUGGUGAUAUGCGUAGAUAUCGGGAGGAACACCUGUGGCGAAGGCGGCUUUCUCGGCCCUACCUGACGCUGAGACGCGAAAGCGUGGGGAGCAAACGGG
rnacentral:rRNA from 1 species